AGGUUAACAGAUUUUUUUUUAAUCAGUUUGUCCUCGAAGUUGAAAGAGCUGGAAUCUCUAGCCCCACCUUACGCUUGAAAGGUUGGCAGACUUAAUCACCAAGAGAGACUGGUAAGUAAAGGCUUGGAAUAUGAACAUGGAAAAGACUGCACAUUCCUCAAAUUCCUGAAAUAAGAAAUGUUUUAACUUGCCACAAGAGACCCAUAGCUGAAAACAGGAAAGGUGAAAUAUCUCCUUGAAAUGGACCAGUGAUGCUGAACAUAUUUGGAGUGGGGGGAGGUGUGUGGGAAAGAACAUAAUUGGAAACUAUGAAGAAUACAAAACCUUUUUACUCGUGAGCAAGGAUAUAAAUAUCAUGCCAAUGAACUAUGGAUUCAGCAUUUGUUGAAGUUCUUCUCAAGGGUAGAUGCAUCUUUAUGGAUCAUCCCUCUCUCUCCUGGCCACGGAAUCCCACAGUUCAUGUUUUCCCAGCAUCACUGUCAGACUUAAAGGAUCUCUUUCCCCGAGAAUAUAUCUACCUCACAAUGUGGGCACUAUACUUCUGCCCAUGCAGACUUUGAAACCGGAAGACUGAGGCUCUUUGAUUAUACUGCCCUAGCAUUCUAGAAGAUGUGCUAGAGAUCUAUGCGCUACUGGCUGAGAUGUCCUCACCAAUGGAGAAGCAAUUAACAAAAUCCCUGACUGGAGUCUAUGAAGCAUCUGUUAAGGAAGUAUAAAAGGUUAACUUAAAUCCCAGCACACAGUUGUCAGACUAGAACAAAUCAGCAUGGAGAAUUACCUGGAGGCACCACAAGGUUAAGGUGGAGCAUAUGUGUGGUAAAAAGGUUGUUUAUGACUAGCAGAAUUAAUUUUCCAGGAUGAGAAGGUCAGACAUGCAGAAAUGAAGGCUGUCUGUGAUGAGCAGAGGCUGUUUUAGACUCUGGAUUCCCCCUGGCAAACACCAAGGUAUAUUUCGUUGGUGUAUCCAAACUCAAAAUACUUAAAAUUGUGAUUUCAGAGGUGCCAAUAAAUGUUGUCUCCUUUGUACCAGGUUCAGUGGAUUAAUCACAGUGAUGCUUAAGAUAGUUAUUUCUUCUUUCCUUAUUUAACAGUAUAAACUCUUUUAACCCUUCAAAAUGGAGUACUUCUCUCUGUGUCAUGUCAAUGCAAGAUGUUUUUGUAUCAACAUGAGAUGUACUUACUGUCUAAUUCAAGCAUCCGAAUAUAGUAGGCUCUGUAUUUGUUGUAACUGAAAGUGUCUUUGUCAAAUUAAUCAAGUAUAUAAAUGUAUGAUAAUUGUAAAAUGUUGGAAAUGUUCAGAUUGCAUCUUAGUAUGAUAUAAAUAAGCAUUAUUCUUCUAUUGCUACUGUUGAUUAAGGUGGAUAUGUACUACCACAUGCUCACUCCCAGCUUUUCCUAUGGUAAAGCUUGAUUCCAAGACACUUGGUUGUGUACUAGUGUGUGAUUUUGUCUAAACUGUGUUCUACAUUUGUAAUAUUUUGUACUUAACAUUGGCAUAUAUAUAUUUUAAAGAGUAAGCACUCACGCAUUAGCUUAUGUGUAUUACAGAGUUGAAGCUGGCACAACAAAAAUGUUGUGGAACUUGCUGGAAAUAAUUCAGAAAGAAAAGCUACCAAAGAGACUGGAGAUUGAUGAGAACAAUUAGUGGAAAAAGAAUAAAUGGUCUGGUUGUACUCUCUUCAUGCAGGCAAAAUUGAACAGAAGAUUAUUUAUUUGAUUUUGGAGGGGUGAGGGACAACAGCCAAGAAGGGAGAUGUAGCAGUCAGGGAAAAAGUUACUGAAAGGAUAUGAUAAAUGUCUCAUAUGCUUGAAUACAGAAAAAAUUUAAAAUGUGGUUCAGAGCAACAUAAUAGGGUUAAAUUCACUACAGAAAAACUAAGUAUAAAAAGUAGAUGACUUUCUCUUCCUUACUAAGAAUUACAAGUGAUCCAAACUGGAAACAGUUCAAGUGAGAAGUUUGGAUAUUAUUUUUCCUGUGGUGUGGUUUUUCCCUUUGUUUUAAUGUAUUAUUGAUUAUUU